AGCUGUCAUCAGCACUUUGUCAAGAGACCACCUCCAUCUGACUCCGUGUCCUGUCUCUCCAUGCGCCGACUGCGUCCGUCCUGCACCUUCAGGCAUCCCACCCCUAGGCUGGAGCUGGACUCCCGCAAGUGGCGCCCAACGUGGGGCUCAAAGGAGUGUUGCCCAUGGUUUCCUAAAGAUACAUCUGUGGAUAUGGAAAUCUGGGACGAAGUAAGCGAAGGACUCAGAUACACCCGUGAGUACCGGACAGAUUCAUCAGACAAGUUUCCACCACCACCUCCUCCCACACACAACUUUCUGAGACGGAGUGAAAGUCCCUGCCCAAGAAAAAACCUUCAAGAACUUCUAGUACAGCGUUUACAGAGCCUCGCUCUGCAAGAUUCCUGAGAAGCUCGCCAGUCAUGACCAGGUCUUCCCUCGCAGCAGUGAUUAGCAAGGUCAACUGGACAAAGUAACCCUACGACCUGAGACCAGAUAGAGAAGUUGACGGAAAAAGCCGAAGCUGUAGAUCGCCUUCAAGAUUUGCCUAUUACUAGUAAAACUUUGUUUAUUGCCAUGCUUAAGUUCCACCCAUAUUAACUACAUCUCUAAAUGAAAAAUCUUUCCUACAUUCUGAAUUAUGGCAAGUUGCAGCUUCUGUCGAGCUAGUAACACUGCAUAAACCCACAAGAAAAGCUGUUUAUCAACUUCAAGCCUGUUUGCAAACUUCAUAUGCCUUUUUGCUAUUUUAGAAUUAUAUAUCUAUGAAUAUUAGCAAAAUUAUAAAUUCAUUAUAAAUUGUAAUAAUUGUACUCUUUCUACCUGUAUUUCUGUAAAAAAUAAUGCAAAGGUUAUUUCUAUUGUGUACCAUCUCCCAUAUUUGAUAAUUCCUGUUACUUUAAAUUUUACGUAGUUUAAUGAUUAUGAACUACAAGCACUUCGAGAUACCAGCAUUCUCUUAUUUCAGAAAAAGUGUUUUGUAGCCCCUAGAACAAGAAAUCCAUAUUGCCGCUUUUUGAUCAUUGUCUAAGAAUGUAUCAUUAGCUUUAGCCACUUAAAAGAUUAUUGAUCAAAAAUUAAAAUCUAAAGUUAAUGCCCUAGAAGAGACCCUGCUUUAUGCAAAGACCCAAGUGCAAAAUUUAAAGACACGUUUAACCACCAGAUGCCACCGUAGCUAUAAAUAGAUUUGUGUUACACCUCAUUUAUAAAAUGAUACAAAAAUUUCCUGAGAUAAAAUAAAAAAUCAUUUAUUAAGAGUGUGGGAUGAUACCAAUUUAUCCCUAGAUAUAGGCCAGUUGCAGCAAACUAUUAGCGAUAUUAGUACUGCUCACAUAUCCUCUUCUUCUGCCUCUGAAGUAGCGAGACUUUUUCUUGCCACUCUGCAGCAUUAUACCACCUCCAAAGCCUAGUUUCCAUCUUUUAUUAAUCUAAGAAUUAUAGCCUUAAUAAUUCUUUUUCUUGUUUUAUUUCUUCCAGUCUUCCUCCGACUGCUAAGCAAAAGUGUAAGAAAAACCUAUUUAAAACUGAAGACUUUAAAACUUGCUUUAAAAAAUAAAAAAAGGGGGAGAUGCU